UUCAAACUAAAAACCCCUCAUUUCAAACUUUGAUUAAUAACCUCAUAGUGUUGCAACAACCCAUGAUCAGUCCAUGAAGUUAAAUAGGUGAAAAAUAUAUCAAAAACCGAAUAGGAUAGCAUGCAGGACAGAAUGUUUCUCGCUGCAGCGAAGUUUAUUCUCGCUGCAGUGAGAAACAGUAUCAAUUUACAUAUGUUCCAGUUUUUCUAUCAUAUCUCCCGCUACAGAAGUUCAAUUGACCUGAUUUUUAGACCAUUAGAAAGCUAAGAGGUAGGGCUACAACUUUUAUGUUUACCACUUUUUCCAGUUCGGAUGGAAAGAUGGUCAAAAUCUUCAUCAAAGUAAAAGCACUAUACUAGAAUCCGAGAGUUUCUCGCUGCAACAAGUUUUCGGCUGCCAAAACAGAAGGUUUCCUGCUGCAGUGAGAAGUAAGGCACCUAAGUGUAAAAUGGACCUCCUUUGCACUAAAAAUCCAUUUGGUGCUGCAAUAAAGAUCAAUUUGCAAGAAAAUGAGAAAUUCUCAAGAUUCAUCAUAUCAAAUUUCACAUGCAUUACAAUCAUAUACCAUAUUCAUGAACUUUUAUUUCACAAUCAUAUAUAUACAUAUAUACAUAAGUAAACACCAAUACCACUAUCAUCUCACCCAACUCAUGUGCAUAAAUAGUUGAUGUUGUGUGAUAAUUAUAACCGUGCGUGUGCACGAUGUGGGGGGAUGCACAUGCCGGUGAUGGUGGUGGUGAGGGAGAUGGAUGAUAAUAGUGCCUGUGUGCACGAUGUGGGGGGAUGUACACGAUGACACUGAUUAUACACGAUGUGGGGGGAUGCACACGAUGACUCCGGCUAUGUGCACGAUGUAUUCCAAAAAUUUCCUUUUGUCUCUUCUUGUCUCCUUGGCACCCAAAAUACCUUAUUAUGCCUCAAUUGACUUCCGAAUCACUUUUUAUCCUGCAAAUUCUUCUCCUAUAAAUAUAUUUUUAUUUUAUUAUUAUUUUCUUGUAUACGAAAUAUUUUAUCCCAAACUAUUCUUUAGGCCUACUUGGACCUUUAUAACAUUAGAAAACUACUUUUAAGGGCUCACCAAGAGAAAUGAUGAAAUUAUCCCUAAUCCGCAUUAUCUCGUCUACUUCUAGUUAUGUGCCUAUGGAGAUUGAGAUUUUACAGGUUCACUUCUGAAUUACCCUUUUUAACUCAGUAAUCAAUCUCAAUUGGCAUCCGUAAACUUUAUCAGCUACCGUAUCAAAAUACGGGUUACUACAAUUUUCUUAUUUGUAUUUUAUUUAUUUGCACAUUAAGUAGGUUUAGGUUUAAUUUUCUAUUAUAAUUACUUUUUGUGCACAUCAAGUAAGUUUAGGUUUAGUUGGCUAUUAUAAAUAACCCUUUAUGUAGUUUUUAUUUUUUUAUCAAGCAGUUUAGGGUUUUUGCUUAGAUUUGAAUAUUUUCUACACAGUAUCAGAGCAGUUCUAAUCUGCAAAGAACUCUCUAACACGAAUAUUGCAAUUGAUGCUGCUAAGUUGUGUGCAUUUCAAGGAAUUGCCUUUAGAGCUCACAAUAAACGUAAGGAUUCAAUUAAUUGUGGCAAUGUUGUUGAAAUCAUAGAACAUAUUGCUUUUUAUAGUAAAGAAGUAGUUUCAAUUGUCUUGGAUAAUGCCCCCCAAAAUGCCUCUUAUAUAUCUCUUAUGAUUUGAAAAGGAGAUUUUGGCCCUUUAUGCAAGCAAAAUCCAAAGUUUCAUUUGGGAAGAAAUUGGUGAUUCAAAAUUUUGUAUUCUUGUAGAUGAAUCAUGAGAUGAUGGAAACAGAGAGCAAAUAGCUAUUGUCUUAAGAUUUGUUGAUAAGUAAGGCUUUAUUCGAGAGAGGUUCUUUAAUUUGACUCAUGUUGAGGAAACUAAAGCUUCUAUUCAAAAAUUUGUAAUGUGCUUGCUUUUCAUAAUCUUAGCAUCCAAAAUAUACAAGGGCAAGGAUAUGAUGGAACAAGUAAUAUAUGAGGUGAAUUGAAUGGAUUGUGAACAUUAUUUUUGAAAGAGUGCCCAUUUGCUUAUUACAUUCAUUGUUUUGCUCAUUGACUACUAUUUAUAUUGAUAGAGACAUGCAAAAAUGUUAUUCCUAUUUAGCAUUUUUUCUCUUAUCUGGCUUUAAUUAUUAAUGUUGUUGAUUCAUUUACAAAAAGAAAGAAUCAUUUGUAAAUUGCUCAUGCAAUUGAGAUUGUAGAGUUGGUUUCUACUGAUGAGCUUGACACUGGAAAAGGAAAAAAAAUCAAGUUGGCUCAUUAAAAAGGGCAAGUGAUACACGAUGGGGCUCUCAUUUAAAGUCUUGUCAAAGCUUACUUGAUUUAUGGAAUCUGACUGUUGUUCAAUUUUCUACCCAUGCAAAUAUACGUAUCUUAAAUAUAAUAUAGUGAUUAGUAAAGUGUCGAUCCCACAAAAAAUUAAAUUAAUUCUUACUGUUAACUACUAAAAUUAACACACUCUAACUUUAUCUAAACAAUUAAAAUUAAAUUAAAACUAAUAAACUAAAAACUAAAACUAAUCUAAAAUAUAUCAACAUAAUUAUUUUAUUAACUUCUAGUGAUUACCAAACCUAAGAUUAUGAUAUUCCUCAAUACUUUAUCUGAAUAUUGUUUCUUUCUUUUAACUUAGUUUAAUGGAUUAAGUUCCUAACCUAGAGUCUUAAAUUAUUUACAAGUCUUUAUCGAGUUUCUCAUAAAAAUACCUCUCCCAAUUAAUUUACUAUAUGUUGAUGCAAAUUAUAUGAAGAAAGAUUCAUUAAGAUUGUGCUCUAAUUUUGGCUACAUAUGGCUUAUAGGUGUAUGUCUACCCUAUAUGCAAAUCAAAUAAUCUAAUCAACUAAGUGUAUUCGAUCAUACGCUAUUUUAUUCAAAGUCUACCUAAAUCUCCUUUAUCAAGGUUUAAUCUAGGUUUUCAAUUCAAUCUAAUUGGUGAUCAAGCAAUUAGAAAGCAUUAAGAACAUAAUAAAAUAAACAACUUAAAUCCAUCAAAUGUAAGUAAAAGAGAGAUAAAUAAUUCAGACUACAUAUUAAGUUCAAUCAUAAUUUUAGAUAAAAAGUUUAGUUCCCUAUCAAGUUACACAUCAUCAUUAAAUAAAAUUAAACAUUAAAAACAAAACCAAGAAAAUAAGAGAAUAACAAAAAUAUAGAAAAACUCAAGAAUUGUAUUCUUGAUCUCCAAAUCUCCUUGAAUCCUGCAAAUUCUUCUUACCUUCAAUGACUUUGUAGCUUGACUCUCCGCUAUCAAUCUGGUGUUUC
rnacentral:lncRNA from 1 species